rnacentral:rRNA from 1 species
CCUACGUGUGGCAGCAGUGAGGAAUAUUGGUCAAUGGACGCGCGCCUGAACCAGCCAAGUAGCGUGAAGGCUGACUGCCCUAUGGGUUGUAAACUUCUUUUAUACAGGAAUAAAACGAGGCACGUGUGCCUUUUUGUAUGUACUUUAUGAAUAAGGAUCGGCUAACUCCGUGCCAGCAGCCGCGGUAAUACGGAGGAUCCGAGCGUUAUCCGGAUUUAUUGGGUUUAAAGGGAGCGUAGAUGGGUUGUUAAGUCAGUUGUGAAAGUUUGCGGCUCAACCGUAAAAGUGCAAUUGAUACUGGCAGUCGUGAGUACAGUUGAGGUAGGCGGAAUUCGUGGUGUAGCGGGGAAAUGCUUAGAUAUCACGAAGAACCCCGAUUGCGAAGGCAGCUUACUAAACUGUGACUGACAUUGAUGCUCGAAAGUGUGGGUAUCAAACAGGAUUAGAGACCCUUGUAGUC